rnacentral:rRNA from 1 species
GACGAACGCUGGCGGCGUGCUUAACACAUGCAAGUCGAACGAUGAAGCCUAGCUUGCUAGGUGGAUUAGUGGCGAACGGGUGAGUAAUACGUGAGUAACCUACCUUUAACUCUGGGAUAAGCCUGGGAAACUGGGUCUAAUACCGGAUACGACCAAUCUCCGCAUGGGGUGUUGGUGGAAAGCGUUAUGUAGUGGUUAUAGAUGGGCUCACGGCCUAUCAGCUUGUUGGUGAGGUAACGGCUCACCAAGGCGACGACGGGUAGCCGGCCUGAGAGGGUGACCGGCCACACUGGGACUGAGACACGGCCCAGACUCCUACGGGAGGCAGCAGUGGGGAAUAUUGCACAAUGGGCGCAAGCCUGAUGCAUCGACGCCGCGUGAGGGAUGACGGCCUUCGGGUUGUAAACCUCUGUUAGCAGGGAAGAAGAGGAAUUGACGGUACCUGCAGAGAAAGCGCCGGCUAACUACGUGCCAGCAGCCGCGGUAAUACGUACGGCGCGAGCGUUGUCCGGAAUUAUUGGGCGUAAAAGAGCUUGUAAGCGGUUUGUCGCGUCUGCUGUGAAAGGCCGGGGCUUAACCCCGUGUAUUGCAGUGGGUACGGGCAGACUAGAGUGCAGUAGGGGAGACUGGAAUUCCUGGUGUAGCGGUGGAAUGCGCAGAUAUCAGGAGGAACACCGAUGGCGAAGGCAGGUCUCUGGGCUGUAACUGACGCUGAGAAGCGAAAGCAUGGGGAGCGAACAGGAUUAGAUACCCUGGUAGUCCAUGCCGUAAACGUUGGGCACUAGGUGUGGGGAACAUUCCACGUUUUCCGCGCCGUAGCUAACGCAUUAAGUGCCCCGCCUGGGGAGUACGGCCGCAAGGCUAAAACUCAAAGAAAUUGACGGGGGCCCGCACAAGCGGCGGGGCAUGCGGAUUAAUUCGAUGCAACGCGAAGAACCUUACCAAGGCUUGACAUAUACUGGACCGCAUCAGAGAUGGUGUUUCCCUUCGGGGCUGGUGUACAGGUGGUGCAUGGUUGUCGUCAGCUCGUGUCGUGAGAUGUUGGGUUAAAUCCCGCAACGAGCGCAACCCUCGUUCUAUGUUGCCAGCACGUAAUGGUGGGGACUCCUAAGAGACUGCCGGGGUCCACUCCGAAGAAAGGGGGGAUGACGUCAAAUCCUCCUGCCCCUUAUGUCUUGGGCUUCCCGCAUGGUACAAUGGCCGGGACAGAAGGUUGCGAUACUGUGGAGGGGAGCUAAUCCCCUAAAACCCGUCUCAAUUCUGAUUGGGGUCUGCAACUCCACCCCCUGAAGCCGGAAUCGCUAGUAAUCCCAAACAACCACCCUGGGGGGAUAAGUUUCCGGGC